UUAAAAACUGGUAAACUAGAGUGCAGAAGGGGGUAGUGGAAUUCCAUGUGUAGCGGUAAAAUGCGUAGAUAUAUGGAGGAACACCGGUGGCGAAGGCGGCUACCUGGUCUGUAACUGACGCUCAGGCACGAAAGCGUGGGGAGCAAAUAGGAUUAGAUGCCCUAGUAGUCCACGCCCUAAACGAUGAGAACUAAGUGUUGGAGUAUUUCAGUGCUGCAGUUAACGCAAUAAGUUCUCCGCCUGAGGAGUAUGCACGCAAGUGUGAAACUUAAAGGAAUUGACGGGGGCCCGCACAAGCGGUGGAGUAUGCGGUUUAAUUCGAUGCAACGCGAAGAACCUUACCAGGCCUUGACAUCCCCUGCAAAGUCAUAGAGAUAUGAUGGAGGUUACCAGGGUGACAGGUGGUGCAUGGUUGUCGUCAGCUCGUGUCGUGAGAUGUUGGGUUAAGUCCCGCAACGAGCGCAACCCUUGUCUUUAGUUACUAACAUUCAGUUGAGGACUCUAAAGAGACUGCCGGUGAUAAACCGGAGGAAGGUGGGGAUGACGUCAAAUCAUCAUGCCCCUUAUGGCCUGGGCUACACGCGUACUACAAUGGCGUACACAACAAGUCGCAAAAGAGUGAUCUUAAGCUAAACUUUUAAAAUGCGUCUCAGUUCGGAUUGGAGUCUGCAACUCGACUCCAUGAAGUUGGAAUCGCUAGUAAUCGCGGAUCAGCAUGCCGCGGUGAAUACGUUCUCGGGCCUUGUACACACCGCCCGUCAAACCAUGAGAGUUAGUAAUACCCGAAGCCGGUGGCCUAACGCGCAAGCGAGGGAGCUGUCGAAGGUAGGACUGAUGAUUGGGGUUAAGUCGUAACAAGGUAACCA
rnacentral:rRNA from 1 species